rnacentral:rRNA from 1 species
CCUACGGGUGGCAGCAGUAGGGAAUGUUCGGCAAUGGGGGGAACCCUGACCGAGCAACGCCGCGUGAACGAAGAAGUUAUUCGUAAUGUAAAGUUCUUUUAACAGGGAAGAAAGAGAAAGUGGACGGGACCUGAAGAAUAAGCUCCGGCUAACGACGUGCCAGCAGCCGCGGUAAUACGUAGGGAGCGAGCGUUAUCAGGAAUUAUUGGGCGUAAAGGGUGCGGAGAUGGCAUAGUAAGUCUUUUGUAAAAAUGCUGGGCUCACCCCAGUAGGGCAAAAGAUACUGCAAAGCUAGCUUAUGCCAGAGGCAAGUGGAACUACCUGUGUAGCGUUCAAAUGCGUACAUAUCUGU